GUUGGAGCUGCGCACAGGUGAUCCAUACCCGGUGCGCACUCCGCCCUCUGCGCGCACAGACUGCGCUCAUUCGCUCGCCGCUGCAGCCCGGAUGUAGCACACAGGAGGAGCGCGCACGCACGCAGAAUCGGCCCGCUCCGUGAUGAUAACAUGGCGCUGGCACACACGUAACGGUGACAAACGGCCACAAUAACACACAGGACAUGUGAGCGCUUCGAUCCGAGCCGAGCAGGUUUGCCAGGGUUUUCCAGCAUGUUUGGGAAGAAGAAGAAACGGCUGGAGAUCUCCGCUCCAUCUAACUUUGAGCACCGGGUUCACACAGGCUUUGACCCGCGGGAGCAGAAGUUCACCGGGCUGCCGCAGCAAUGGCAGAGCCUCCUGGCAGACACUGCCAACCGGCCCAAGCCCAUGGUGGACCCGUCGUACAUUACCCCCAUUCAGCUGGCACCAAUGAAGAUAUCUCCCGAGAACGC